rnacentral:lncRNA from 1 species
AGGCUUUUUAUUCUAACAGCACUGGGUGGGCCCAACCCACCUGCCAGACAGUUCCCAGGAGUGAGGCUGGUCUUUCCCAGCAAGUAAGACACAGUUUUGUUAGGUGAGUGAGCAGCUCCUCCCUUAGUCCAGGGAGAGCCCCCACUCCACUGGGUGAUGAAACUGGCUUUUUGGAGGCCUGGCAAUGCACAGAGGCCCUUCCUCUCCAGGAAUGCCCGGGCUCACAUGGUCCACUUCAGAUAUCUGGUCUCCUGGUGGGUCCCCAGACAGCACACGGUGCAAUACCAGGCACCACAGCUGACACAGGUGUAGGGGGAGGGGAAGCUGCAGACAGCACAGAAGGAACGCUGUGGCUGCGACAGGGACUCUGCACAGGCUAUCAGGUAGUUGGGGCCCUUGGCCACACUCAAGUUCUGCUCCUCCAGCAGGGCCUGAAAGUUUUUUUGGACGUGAAGUUGAAAAUGAUCACCUCGGGUUUUCUUCUUUUACUGUCUGGUGUCUGCAUCAUCAUCGAACUGUGGCAGUCUCUUGCUGAGCUGAGGGAGUCCCACAUGGGGGUCGUCCUGGAAGUUGUCAUUCUCCAGGACUUCUAGCUGCCAGUUGAUGUGACGCUGCCAGGUGGCCCAGUCCAGCACCCGUUGCUGCCCAGGGUCCUGGGAUCUAUGCACUCUUCCUGAAGUUUUCUUCUCCACCAUUUGCACAACCCAAC